CCUACGGGAGGCAGCAGUGAGGAAUAUUGGUCAAUGGGCUUACGCCUGAACCAGCCAAGUCGCGUGAGGGAAGACUGCCCUAUGGGUUGUAAACCUCUUUUGUCAGGGAGCAACGCCGGCUACGUGUAGCCGGACUGAGAGUACCUGAAGAAAAAGCGUCGGCUACCUCCGUGCCAGCAGCCGCGGUAAUACGGUGGAUGCGAGCGUUAUCCGGAUUUAGUGGGCGUAAAGGGGGCGUAGGCGGGAACUUAAGGUAGAUGUGAAAACUCCGGGCUUAACCUGGAGACUGCAUAUAAAACUGGGUUACUAGAGGGCAGGAGAGGAAAGUGGAAUUCCUAGUGUAGCGGUGAAAUGCGUAGAUAUUAGGAGGAACACCAGUGGCGAAGGCGACUUUCUGGACUGUACCUGACGCUGAGGCGCGAAAGCAUGGGGAGCGAACAGGAUUAGAUACCCGGGUAGUC
rnacentral:rRNA from 1 species